AGAGUUUGAUCAUGGCUCAGGACGAACGCUGGCGGCGUGGAUUAGGCAUGCAAGUCGAACGGUAGGGGACUUUCGGGUUCCUGAGAGUGGCGAACGGGUGAGUAACACGUAGGUAAUCUACCCUCAAAUCGGGGACAACCCAGGGAAACUUGGGCUAAUACCGGAUGCGUGCGGCACCUAAAUGAUCCUGGUUGAGAUGGGAGAGAUUCUGUUUUGACUGGGUGGGUUAUUUAGGUGCUGCAUAAAAGGUGGCUGGUAGCAGCUGUUGUUUGAGGAUGAGCCUGCGCUCUAUUAGUUAGUUGGUGGGGUAAUGGCCUACCAAGGCGAUGAUAGAUAGGCGGCCUUAACGGGUGGUCGCCCACACUGGGAUUGAGAUACGGCCCAGACUCCUACGGGAGGCAGCAGUCGAGAAUAGUCUACAAUGGACGAAAGUCUGAUAGUGCGACGCCGCGUGAACGAGGAAGCCCUUCGGGGUGUAAAGUUCUUUUAUAUGUGAGCAAUGCUUCUUAUAUGAAUAGUAUGAGGAGAGAGAUAUUAGCAUAUGAAUAAGCAACGGCUAACUCCGUGCCAGCAGCCGCGGUAACACGGGGGUUGCAAGCGUUGUCCGGAAUUACUAGGCGUAAAGGGCAGGUAGGCGGAUCUAUAAGUUUGAUGUUAAAGGCAGCGGCUCACCCGUUGUACGGCAUUAGAUACUGUAGAUCUGGAAUGCGGUUGGGGAAGACAGAAUUCCUGGUGUAGCGGUGGAAUGCGCAGAGAUCAGGAGGAAUACCGAAGGCGAAGGCAGUCUUCUAAGCCGAUAUUGACGCUAAACUGCGAAGGUGUGGGUAUCAAACAGGAUUAGAUACCCUGGUAGUCCACACAGUAAACGAUAAUCACUAGGUGUUGGGUUCGAAGAGAAUUCGGUGCCGUAGCUAACGCGAUAAGUGAUUCGCCUGGGGAGUACGAUCGCAAGGUUGAAACUCAAAUGAAUUGACGG
rnacentral:rRNA from 1 species